AUACGGAGGAUGCGAGCGUUAUCCGGAAUCAUUGGGUUUAAAGGGUGCGCAGGCGGUUUAUUAAGUCAGUGGUGAAAUCUCGGGGCUCAACCUCGAAACUGCCAUUGAUACUGAUAAACUUGAGUUCAGUUGGAGUAGGCGGAAUGUGUAGUGUAGCGGUGAAAUGCUUAGAUAUUACACAGAACACCGAUAGCGAAGGCAGCUUACUAAACUGAUACUGACGCUGAGGCACGAAAGCGUGGGGAGCGAACAGGAUUAGAAACCCGGGUAGUCC
rnacentral:rRNA from 1 species